CAAGAAAAGGAACCAGGGCUAUAAAUCCUGUUAAAGAUGGGCCAUGAGUGUCCUUCUGGCCUACUAAUUUUAUCACGAUUAGUUUCUAACUGGACAAGAGAGCACUUCCAGUCUGAGACAAAGCCAGAUUAAAGGAAGAAAUCUAUUCUUCUUACUCUAAUUUGUGUGGCUACUGGAAAACUGAAAACUAUGUAUAUGUGGCUUGCAUUAUGUUUCUAUUGGAUAGUGCUGCUGUGGAGCACCAGGCAAUUUUUAAGAGACAAUGACAUCCUGAGGAUAAACCAUACUAUUACCAUAUCACAAACAUUCCAAAUUCCCAGAAAUGCAGAGGUAUGAUGAGUCACUCCAUGGAGAUCUGGGCCAAAGGCAGCUGGCAGAACUCAUUCCAGAUCCUCAACAAACAGAGCUUGUGAUUGUCAUUCAGCAUUCAUGGAGAGUUUUGCUUGAUUUUUCACACCCC
ensembl:lincRNA